rnacentral:rRNA from 1 species
GAAUCCCGUGAACCAUCGAGUCUUUGAACGCAAGUUGCGCCCGAAGCCAUCCGGCCGAGGGCACGUCUGCCUGGGCGUCACACACCGUUGCCCCCC